rnacentral:rRNA from 1 species
AGACCCGAAACCCGGUGAUCUAGCCAUGGGCAGGUUGAAGGUUGGGUAACACUAACUGGAGGACCGAACCGACUAAUGUUGAAAAAUUAGCGGAUGACCUGUGGCUGGGGGUGAAAGGCCAAUCAAACCGGGAGAUAGCUGGUUCUCCCCGAAAGCUAUUUAGGUAGCGCCUCGUGAAUUCAUCUCCGGGGGUAGAGCACUGUUUCGGCUAGGGGGCCAUCCCGGCUUACCAACCCGAUGCAAACUGCGAAUACCGGAGAAUGUUAUCACGGGAGACACACGGCGGGUGCUAACGUCCGUCGUGAAGAGGGAAACAACCCAGACCGCCAGCUAAGGUCCCAAAGUCAUGGUUAAGUGGGAAACGAUGUGGGAAGGCCCAGACAGCCAGGAUGUUGGCUUAGAAGCAGCCAUCAUUUAAAGAAAGCGUAAUAGCUCACUGGUCGAGUCGGCCUGCGCGGAAGAUGUAACGGGGCUAAACCAUGCACCGAAGCUGCGGCAGCGACACUCAGGUGUUGUUGGGUAGGGGAGCGUUCUGUAAGCCUGCGAAGGUGGCCUGUGAGGGUUGCUGGAGGUAUCAGAAGUGCGAAUGCUGACAUAAGUAACGAUAAAGCGGGUGAAAAGCCCGCUCGCCGGAAGACCAAGGGUUCCUGUCCAACGUUAAUCGGGGCAGGGUGAGUCGACCCCUAAGGCGAGGCCGAAAGGCGUAGUCGAUGGGAAACGGGUUAAUAUUCCCGUACUUGGUGUUACUGCGAAGGGGGGACGGAGAAGGCUAUGUUGGCCGGGCGACGGUUGUCCCGGUUUAAGCGUGUAGGUGUGUGUUCCAGGUAAAUCCGGUUCACUUUAACACUGAGGCGUGAUGACGAGGCACUACGGUGCUGAAGCAACAAAUGCCCUGCUUCCAGGAAAAGCCUCUAAGCAUCAGGUAACAUCAAAUCGUACCCCAAACCGACACAGGUGGUCAGGUAGAGAAUACCAAGGCGCUUGAGAGAACUCGGGUGAAGGAACUAGGCAAAAUGGUGCCGUAACUUCGGGAGAAGGCACGCUGACACGUAGGUGAAGUGAUUUACUCAUGGAGCUGAAGUCAGUCGAAGAUACCAGCUGGCUGCAACUGUUUAUUAAAAACACAGCACUGUGCAAACACGAAAGUGGACGUAUACGGUGUGACGCCUGCCCGGUGCCGGAAGGUUAAUUGAUGGGGUCAGCGCAAGCGAAGCUCCUGAUCGAAGCCCCGGUAAACGGCGGCCGUAACUAUAACGGUCCUAAGGUAGCGAAAUUCCUUGUCGGGUAAGUUCCGACCUGCACGAAUGGCGUAAUGAUGGCCAGGCUGUCUCCACCCGAGACUCAGUGAAAUUGAACUCGCUGUGAAGAUGCAGUGUACCCGCGGCAAGACGGAAAGACCCCGUGAACCUUUACUAUAGCUUGACACUGAACAUUGAGCCUUGAUGUGUAG